CAUGCCGUAAACGAUGAUUACUAGGUGUGGGGGGUCUGACCCCUUCCGUGCCGGAGUUAACACAAUAAGUAAUCCACCUGGGGAGUACGGCCGCAAGGUUGAAACUCAAAGGAAUUGACGGGGGCCCGCACAAGCAGUGGAGUAUGUGGUUUAAUUCGAAGCAACGCGAAGAACCUUACCAGGUCUUGACAUCCCGAUGACCGCUCUAGAGAUAGAGUUUUCCCUUCGGGGACAUUGGUGACAGGUGG
rnacentral:rRNA from 1 species